rnacentral:rRNA from 1 species
UACGAAGGGGCUAGCGUUGCUCGGAAUUACUGGGCGUAAAGGCGCGUAGGCGGACAGUUUAGUCAGAGGUGAAAGCCCAGGCUCAACCUUGGAAUAGCCUUUGAUGACUGACUGUCUUGAGUUCGGGAGAGGUGAGUGGAAUGCCGAGUGUAGAGGUGAAAUUCGUAGAUAUUCGGCGGAACACCAGUGGCGAAGGCGACUCACUGGCCCGAUACUGACGCUGAGGCGCGAAAGCGUGGGAGCAAACAGGG